rnacentral:rRNA from 1 species
CCUACGGGUGGCACCAGUGGGGAAUUCUCCGCAAUGGGCGAAAGCCUGGCGGAGCAAUGCCGCGUGGAGAUAGAAGGCCCACGGGUCGUGAACUUCUUUUCCCGGAGAAGAAGCAAUGACGGUAUCUGGGGAAUAAGCAUCGGCUAACUCAGUGCCAGCAGCCGCGGUAAUACAGAGGAUGCAAGCGUUAUCCGGAAUGAUUGGGCGUAAAGCGUCUGUAGGUGGCUUUUUAAGUCCGCCGUCAAAUCCCAGGGCUCAACCCUGGACAGGCGGUGGAAACUACCAAGCUGGAGUACGGUAGGGGCAGAGGGAAUUUCCGGUGGAGCGGUGAGAUGCGUAGAGAUCGGAAGGAACACCAACGGCGAAAGCACUCUGCUGGGCCGACACUGACACUGAGAGACGAAAGCUAGGGGAGCGAAUGGGAUUAGAUACCCUCGUAGUC